rnacentral:sRNA from 1 species
AACACCCACAAACAACGUCACGACGCAACGUGGUUAAACAGUACGUUUAUUAAAGUAACUGGGUGAACGACACCGGAGCGGACUGCAAAUCGCAACGCUACUUUCUCGAGUGCAGAUACUCUUCGAGACGGCUAAACAACGUGUCCAACUCGCUGAGACCUUUCCGCGUGCCGUUAUCCGAUUUCCUUUCCGCCUCCUGAGACAGCCGACUAAUCACGGACUUAUCUCCGCAACCUAACAGAGGCUGGGAGCCCGACAAAAGUAAAACAGCGUGCUAUGAACACGUUGUUACCUCUGCGCGGACAGCGCCGCCACAGAGACACUUACGCAUUGCCGCAUGUCUUUGUAGAUGGAUUCUAGCGUCGAGCGCAUACUAUGCAAUUCCGUCUUAAGUCCGGGAUAGACGUGAUCGCCUGCGGGGAACACGAUCUCCAGAUACCGCCUCAACAACCAGUCCAUGACGCUGCAUCCCCAACAGCCUUUGACCACCGUACCGUCGAGCCACACGGAGUAGUCGUCCUCACGUUGCUACAAGAGGAAAACUACGUCACCCGACACGCGGAAAAGAAAGACCGUCGCAAUAAACCGUACCUACGUGACCUACCAACGUAGGUUUUACUCGAUGAAAGGUGACGCGGAGAUCUUGCAAUCUGGUCGCGUAAUCCUCUGGACGACACUGCGGCUUUGUAUUCUUUAUCGUCGUCGUCGUCGCCGGCUUCGCCUCCUCGGAAGCGCCUAGAAAAAAGACGAUCAGGACCAGAGAGGAAGAGACCAUCACCGACAGCAUCGCCGCAGCAUGCCGCCCCAGUCCGCCGCCCAACUGCGCGUCCCAGAUACCACUCGUAGACUGUCAGCCUCGCGAGGAGACACCGCGGACCGGGAAAACGGAUAAGUUUACGAACAGAAAUCUCAAGAGAAGGACGCUGACCCGGCAAGUACCGUAACGGAGACACGGUGGUUUUUAUUGAAUUUCCAGUGUAUCGAGCCACCGUGAUGCAGGUACGGUGGUUUUAUGUAAAGUGCCGCUAUCUAUAGGCGAUGUGUUCCCUGACGGUGUGUGUGUUUUUUUUUUGGGGGGGGGGGGAUAGACAACGUGGUUCUUGUACGUGGUUUUUACCCUGCUCAAUAAAGUCACGUUUUCCUUACACGGUGUUGUGUC